rnacentral:rRNA from 1 species
CAUUAGUUGCCACCAUUUGGUUGGCACUCUAAUGAGACUGCCGGUGACAAACCGGAGGAAGGUGGGGAUGACGUCAAGUCCUCAUGGCCCUUAUGGGUAGGGCUUCACACGUCAUACAAUGGUCGGUACAGAGGGUUGCCAACCCGCGAGGGGGAGCUAAUCCCACAAAGCCGAUCGUAGUCCGGAUCGCAGUCUGCAACUCGACUGCGUGAAGUCGGAAUCGCUAGUAAUCGUGGAUCAGCAUGUCACGGUGAAUACGUUCCCGGGUCUU